rnacentral:tRNA from 1 species
AUUUACAUAGUUUAACUACAAACAUUUUAUUUUCGUUAAAAAGAAGGCAAAUUGCCUGUAAAUU